UACGUAGGUGGCAAGCGUUGUCCGGAAUUAUUGGGCGUAAAGAGCUCGUAGGCGGCCAUGCGUGUCUUCCGUGAAAUCCCUCGGCUUAACUGAGGACGUGCGGAAGAAACUGCAAGGCUCGAGUCCGGGAGAGGAGGGUGGAAUUCCCAGUGUAGCGGUGAAAUGCGUAGAUAUUGGGAGGAACACCGGUGGCGAAGGCGGCCCUCUGGACCGGUACUGACGCUGAUGCGCGAAAGCGUGGGGAGCAAACAGG
rnacentral:rRNA from 1 species